GUGAUCACUUCCUGGUCUCAGGUAAACAUCCGUCUGCGCACGCAUCACCGGAAGACGUGUGGUUUGCCAGCUCGACUGAUUUGUAUCCUAUGAAUUGUGUUUAUUGAUAAUAAACUGACUUUUGGAUGUUUU